CUAGAAAAAAAGUUUUUGCUCCUGUGUAAAUAUCAUAAUAAAUUUGCACUGUCCUCUGAUUGGUCACAGCAGAGAGAUUUAAAUAAUAAAUCCCGCAAAAUUGUGCCUCUCUCCCGGCAGCACGAUAGGAAUCCGUCGAGAUCGUCGCAGUUUCGUUCUACGUCGGUCGCGUCCACGAAAUGUAAACACUAUUGGACGCGUACGAAACCGGGUAUGCCGAUUCGGUUUUUGUUGGUCCAUCGCAAGAAGUUAGGUAGUUUAGAUUAGGUUAGGUAGGGUUUUCAAUGUUGUUUUUUUAACCCUUCAUGUUGAAAGUCUAACUCACUUUGGAAGAUUCAUUGUUUUUGUUAGUGUAAGGAAAUUAAGAUCAUAUUUAUUUAUUAGAAAAAAUCCAAAUAAAAACUUGUAAAACUAUCGUUUUGGCCGUGCAGCUAUUUUCCGAAGGUCAUAAAAGUUGAAAAUACAUCAAAAACCAUUGGAACAAGAUUAUUUCAACCUAACCUAACCUAUUUGAGUAAUCAGUUUCUCCACGUGGUACUAAACAAACAAGUGCCUUUAUUAUAAGUGUACGAAGAUGUUAUUUGACCACGAUUCUGGGCCAAAUAACCGUCGGCCAUUUGACCGGGACCUGCGGGGAUCGUAUAGGAUUGUAGUCGGGAUGGUUGGGGGCAUUAAACAAGUCAUUACAUUAUGGUAUUAUUUAAUUGUAUAAUUUCUGUUGACAAAAGGAUUUAGUUUUAUUUUAGAUCUCUGUCAAAUAAGCGGCGGUUAUUGUGCCGAGUACCGGUCAAAUAAUCCCUGCCUAUAAUAUAAGAGUUUUACAGUGUUGUGUAUUAUAUAGCUAUUGGUCACAUUUCCAGGAAGCUUCAAGGACCAACAACACAUCUCGGUACGACAAGUCGAGACUCGACCGUACAGACCCGUCCGGUCUCGCACACGACGCCGUUAACGGCAAACGGAGAAACGCCGCUGGGAGGCACUUUCUCCAACACUGCCUACAGUGGACCUGAUGUGAACUAGAAUGAAGUUGGCUGGACAUGAAAUUUACUGGACCUCAAGUAGUCUGUGGAAGCUUUAAGGACCAACAACACAUCUCGGUACGACAAGUGGAGACUCGACCGUACAGACCCGUCCGGUCUCGCACACGACGCCGUUAACGGCAAACGGAGAAACGCCGCCGCCGCCGACCCGCGGGAGGUACUUUCUCCAUCACUGCCUAAAGUGGACCUGAUGUGAACUAGAAUGAAGUUGGCUGGACCUGCAGUGAAGUGGACCUGAAGCUAACUGGACCUCAAGUAGUCUGUGGAAGCUUCAAGGACCAACAACACAUCUCGGUACGACAAGUCGAGACUCGACCGUACAGACCCGUCCGGUCUCGCACACGACGCCGUUAACGGCAAACGGAGAAACGCCGCUGGGAGGCACUUUCUCCAACACUGCCUACAGUGGACCUGAUGUGAACUAGAAUGAAGUUGGCUGGAC
rnacentral:lncRNA from 1 species